AGAGUUUGAUCAUGGCUCAGGAUGAACGCUGGCGGUCUGCUUAACACAUGCAAGUCGAACGGAACCUUUCGGGGUUUAGUGGCGGACGGGUGAGUAACGCGUGAGAAUCUGCCCUUGGGUUCGGGACAACAGUUGGAAACGACUGCUAAUACCGGAUGUGCCGAAAGGUAAAAGCUUUAGUGCCCGGGGAUGAGCUCGCGUCUGAUUAGCUAGUAGGAGUGGUAACGGCACCCCUAGGCGACGAUCAGUAGCUGGUCUGAGAGGAUGAUCAGCCACACUGGGACUGAGACACGGCCCAGACUCCUACGGGAGGCAGCAGUGGGGAAUUUUCCGCAAUGGGCGCAAGCCUGACGGAGCAAGACCGCGUGAGGGAAGAAGGUCUGUGGAUUGUAAACCUCUUUUGAUGGGGAAGAAGACAGUGACGGUACCCAUCGAAUCAGCCUCGAUCCCCCG
rnacentral:rRNA from 1 species